AGGAACAGAAGCACCUUCCUUUCUAAUGUACUUCUGACAUUUUGGCUUGAUUCAAGAGUGGGAACUGAUACUGCUCACUACUAUAAGAUAUUUCUACUGAAAGAAAAUUCUGUAACUUCAAAAAUGGCAGUCUUCCAGAAAUGGAAAUACACUGAUCAACAGGAAACCUAAGGUCCAAAAUUGCAAAGGGUUGUGGCUACAGAUUUAGAUAGGAAUGAAGCAUACUGUCUGGAGAUCCAUGGAAUUCCUACCAAGAAGGAUGAAACUUUAUGCCAAGCUGCUUCAAGGAGAAGAUUGUGAGAAUGAGACAGUCCUUAUAAAAAUGAACAUGAUCUGACAGCAGAGGUGAGAUGAUACCAAAAGAAGCAGGGAUUGAAUCCUGUAGGGGUUUGCACCCCUUGAAGAUUCAGAGGAGAGAUCAAAUCAGAUACAGAGGUGCUUUGCUGCCUGUGUGCCAAGGAUAAGGAAGCUAAACAAUAAUAUCCCAGCAGUUUCCAGGACUAUGCCCGUGAGCAUCACCUCGCAGCCCUGGUCCCUCGACGCACAUGGACCUCACUGGCCUGGAUUGUGCCAUUUGCUGAAGGCAAGAGCCUCACAGAGCUGCCAAGGGGACUCUGCAGGGUGGCUUUGCUGGGUACGUGUGCCCCAGGGCAGCGCUUCAGCGUGC
ensembl:lncRNA